GACGAACGCUGGCGGCGUGCUUAACACAUGCAAGUCGAGCGGGAACCUCUGAAGGGGUAACCCUUCAGAGGGGAGAGCGGCGAACGGGUGAGUAACACGUGGGCAACCUGCCCCAGACACUGGGAUAACUCCGGGAAACCGGGGCUAAUACCGGAUACUCCGGUCUGAUCGCAUGUUCGGAUCGGGAAAGCUCCGACGGUCUGGGAUGGGCCCGCGGCCUAUCAGCUUGUUGGUGAGGUAACGGCCCACCAAGGCGACGACGGGUAGCUGGUCUGAGAGGACGGCCAGCCACACUGGGACUGAGACACGGCCCAGACUCCUACGGGAGGCAGCAGUGGGGAAUAUUGCGCUAAUGCGCGAAAGCGUGACGCAGCGACGCCGCGUGCGGGAUGAAGGCCUUC
rnacentral:rRNA from 1 species